AAUGCUUCUCAGUCUUUUGGCUAAGAAAGUGUAACGUAUGUUCUUAUCAAUUCAAUAUCUAACACAUCCUCUGAAAACAAAGUAAAUGGUUUGGGGCAGGGAGGUGGAAUAGGAGCUUGCUCCAUCCACCCUAUGCUUCAACCUGCUAUUGUAGUACCUCCAGGAGUGCUGUACCCCUC
rnacentral:snRNA from 1 species